rnacentral:rRNA from 1 species
AGUGAACGCUGGCGGUAGGCCUAACACAUGCAAGUCGAACGGCAGCACAGUAAGAGCUUGCUCUUACGGGUGGCGAGUGGCGGACGGGUGAGGAAUACAUCGGAAUCUACUUUUUCGUGGGGGAUAACGUAGGGAAACUUACGCUAAUACCGCAUACGACCUACGGGUGAAAGCAUGGGAUCUUCGGACCUUGCGCGAUUGAAUGAGCCGAUGUCGGAUUAGCUAGUUGGCGGGGUAAAGGCCCACCAAGGCGACGAUCCGUAGCUGGUCUGAGAGGAUGGUCAGCCACACUGGAACUGAGACACGGUCCAGACUCCUACGGGAGGCAGCAGUGGGGAAUAUUGGACAAUGGGCGCAAGCCUGAUCCAGCCACACCGCGUGGGUGAAGAAGGCCUUCGGGUUGUAAAGCCCUUUUGUUGGGAAAGAAAAGCAGCAGGUUAAUACCCCGCUGUUCUGACGGUACCCAAAGAAUAAGCACCGGCUAACUUCGUG